rnacentral:snoRNA from 1 species
GGAAGGAAUGAUGAUUAUUGAUUUCCCUAUUGGUUUGAUUGCCUGAAUGAUGGCGUUUUUUAUUAGCUCUAUCUGACCAUUC